CUGGUUGAUCCUGCCAGUAGUCAUAUGCUUGUCUCAAAGAUUAAGCCAUGCAUGUCUAAGUAUAAACAUCUUUAUACUGUGAAACUGCGUACAGCUCAUUAUAUCAGUAAUUAUUUAUUUGAUGGUUUUUCUAUAUGGAUACCCGUAGUAAUUCUAGAGCUAAUACAUGCGUAAAGUCCCGACUCUCACGGGGAGGGAUGUAUUUAUUAGUUAAAAAAUCAAUGCGUCCUCUGGACGGUUUUGUGAUGAAUCAUAGUAACUGAUCGAAUCGCAGGUUUCACACCAGCGAUAGUUCAUUCAAAUUUCUGCCCUAUCAGCUUUCGAUGGUAGUGUAGUGGACUACCAUGGCGUUAACGGGUAACGGAGAAUUAGGGUUCGAUUCCGGAGAGGGAGCCUGAGAAACGGCUACCACAUCUAAGGAAGGCAGCAGGCGCUCAAAUUACCCAAUCCCGACACGGGGAGGUAGUGACAAGAAAUAACAAUACAGGGCAUCCAUGUCUUGUAAUUGGAAUGAGUAGAAUUUAAAUCCCUUUACGAGUAUCGAUUGGAGGGCAAGUCUGG
rnacentral:rRNA from 1 species